rnacentral:rRNA from 1 species
UACGUAGGGGGCUAGCGUUGUCCGGAAUCAUUGGGCGUAAAGAGCGUGUAGGCGGCCCGGUAAGUCCGCUGGGAAAGUCGGGGGCUCAACCCUCGAAUGCCGGUGGAUACUGUCGGGCUAGAGUGCGGAAGAGGCGAGUGGAAUUCCUGGUGUAGCGGUGAAAUGCGCAGAUAUCAGGAGGAACACCAAUAGCGAAGGCAGCUCGCUGGGACGUUACUGACACUGAGGCGCGAAAGCGUGGGGAGCGAACAGG